rnacentral:rRNA from 1 species
GACGUAGGGCGCGAGCGUUGUCCGGAUUUAUUGGGCGUAAAGAGCUCGUAGGCGGCUUGUUGCGUCGACUGUGAAAACCUGCGGCUCAACCGUGUGGUCUGCAGUCGAUACGGGCAGGCUGGAGUUCGGUAGGGGAGACUGGAAUUCCCGGUGUAGCGGUGAAAUGCGCAGAUAUCGGGAAGAACACCCGUGGCGAAGGCGGCUCUCUGGAACGGUACUGACGCUGAGACGCGAAAGCGUGGGGAGCGAACAGG